rnacentral:rRNA from 1 species
GACGAACGCUGGCGGCGUGCCUAAUACAUGCAAGUUGAGCGCUGAAGGUUGGUACUUGUACCGACUGGAUGAGCAGCGAACGGGUGAGUAACGCGUGGGGAAUCUGCCUUUGAGCGGGGGACAACAUUUGGAAACGAAUGCUAAUACCGCAUAAAAACUUUAAACACAAGUUUUAAGUUUGAAAGAUGCAAUUGCAUCACUCAAAGAUGAUCCCGCGUUGUAUUAGCUAGUUGGUGAGGUAAAGGCUCACCAAGGCGAUGAUACAUAGCCGACCUGAGAGGGUGAUCGGCCACAUUGGGACUGAGACACGGCCCAAACUCCUACGGGAGGCAGCAGUAGGGAAUCUUCGGCAAUGGACGAAAGUCUGACCGAGCAACGCCGCGGGAGUGAAGAAGGUUUUCGGAUCGGAAAACUCGGUUGGUAGAGAAGAACGUUGGUGAGAGUGGAAAGCUCAUCAAGUGACGGUAACUACCCAGAAAGGGACGGCUAACUACGUG